CUCCACUGCGGUUGCGCAGCCUGCCGAAGAGCGUGCGGCUUCUACUGCGGCUGCGCAAGCUCGACGCGCGCACUCUUGUCUGCUUACGAGGGCUCCUCCCUUCAGCUUUGGUCCCUCGGGGCGUCUGGGCAGCCUACGCUUUCCGAAGUACAGUCUAUAUAAAGACUGUCCAGGACAAAAACUGGCCACUCCAUUCAGCAUUGACAGCAGUAUUUAAAGCUGGUGCAUGGUGAGGUGAAGUUUCUCAAGGGCAAAGACAAUGCCUUCAUGCAUGUUCAGUGUCUGCCCCCGUGGGCUUUGAAAUGAUCGCUGACAAUGGGGGAUCUGCAGUGACUUCUCUGCCUCUGCCAAAGCCCAGGGGUGCUGCUCCCUAAUUCUAAGGAUUCUAAUGAGACUCAGAGCAGGUGUAACACAGGGCAUGGAGCUUCCUGAGCAAGAGGCUGGCUAACAAACUGUGGACGUGGUACUUAGACACAUUAAGAGACAUUACAGGGACACCUGCAAGUAUGUCUCCCUGGGGAGAAGCCAAGUGCAGAUGCUAUGGCCACAGAUGAUAUGGUUUGGCUCUGUGUCCCCACUCAAAUCUCAUCUCAAGUUGUAAUCCCUGGAUGUCGAGGGAGGGACCUGGUGGGAGGUGAUUGGAUUGGUUCGCAUGAUAGUGAGGGAGUUCUCACGAGAUCUGGUUGUUUGAUAAGUGUCUGGCAUUUCUCCUGUGCUGUCUCUCCUGCCACCUUGUGAAGAAGGUGCCUGCUUCUCCUUCGCCUUCCGCCAUGAUUGUAAGUUUCCUGAGGCCUCCCUAGCAAUGCAGAACUGUGAGUCAAUUAAACUUCCUUUCUUUAUAAAUUA
rnacentral:lncRNA from 1 species